rnacentral:rRNA from 1 species
UGCCAGACUCCUACGGGAGGCAGCAGUAGGGAAUCUUUCACAAUGGGCGAAAGCCUGAUGGAGCAACGCCGCGUGCAGGAUGAAGGCCUUCGGGUUGUAAACUGCUUUUAUAAGCGAGAAAUAUGAUGGUAACUUAUGAAUAAGGAUCGGCUAACUACGUGCCAGCAGCCGCGGUCAUACGUAGGAUCCGAGCAUUAUCCGGAGUGACUGGGUGUAAAGAGUUGCGUAGGCGGACUGUUAAGUCAGCGGUAAAGGCCGGGGCCCCACCCCGGCCCUGCCGUUGAAACUGGCGGCCUCGAGUGGGCGAGAAGUAUGCGGAAUGCGUGGUGUAGCGGUGAAAUGCAUAGAUAUCACGCAGAACUCCGAUUGCGAAGGCAGCCUACUAAACUGCCACUGACAUUGAUGCUCGAAAGUGUGGGUAUCAAACAGGAUUAGAUACCCUUGUA